AAGACUGUACUUUCAGGGAUCAUUUCUAUAGUUCUUUACUAGAGAAGAUUUUCUGAACGUGUAGAGCAUCUGAAACCAAGAGGAGGAGGCAUAGAAAACAAACUCAUGGAAACAACCUAAAUGUCCAUUGACAGAUGACUGGA
ensembl:snoRNA U3 Small nucleolar RNA U3